UAGGGGAUUCUCACUGGGAGGUGGAGUUUCAGCCUCAGCUCCAUUCAUACACAUUCCCCUAUCCACUUUCACAUCACAGCCUUACUCUCCUGAACUACAUUUGCCCCAAUCAUUAAAAAAAAAACAACAACAAAAAAAACAACAUAUGAAAGUGACGCACUUGCCUCAUCUGCAAACCCCACAGCAAUAGCAGCCCCGCGCUGGGCUUUAAUUCAAGGAUGCUGCAGAAAUUAAUUGGAUCCUGUGAGCAGUGCACGGUAGUGACAGGGAGCGCAUCGCACGUCUGAAGCGUGAUGACGACAUCCACCCCCGCCAAUGCACUGGGCCGGAAAAGACACUGGGUGAGUUGUCAGGUGACCGGCGCAUGACAGGGGUUGCGGGUUCAGCGGUGAGGCGAUGACAUCAUCCAUCCGCGCCGGCGCACUGGAUCGAGGGGGACGCUGCACGAGAUAUUGCUCCUAUGACGUCAACAGCUCCAUUAUGCAACUGAGAAAGACCAUAUCAUUCCAAUAAUGUAUAAAUAAGCAUAACUCCUGCCAUGUUUGGGUGUAAACAUGCCUAGUAUUGCAAGCCUUUCCUCGUAUUCCAGCGUCUCCAUACCCUUAAUUAGUUUGGUCGCCCGCCUUUGAACCUUUUCUAGCUCCAGGAUAUCCUUUUUGUAGUAAGGUGCCCAGAAUUGUACACAGUAUUCAAGGUGUGGCCUCACAAGUGAUUUAUAUAACGGGAGUAUAAUAUUCUCGUCCCUAGCAUCUUAUUAGCAUGCACGCAUCUAUCCCGAAUCCAGAAAUACAGAGUGCCCGACACAUCGCCAAGACAACAGGUGGAGAGGAAAUGAAGCAGUCACAGUGCCGUCUCCAUGGGAAUGGAAACGCAGUGAAGGAGAUUACGGAAGCAUAAAAGAUGGCAGCAGAUAGACACCGGGCCAGAACACGUGACAAAUAUCAAGUGACAUUAGUGUUAAUAGAAAAACACACUGUUGCUCUGGAGAUGUGAACUGUUUAUGGUCACAUGAUUUAGAGGAGAUCUAUGAUUGGAGAGAGACCAGCCUUAGCAGUUAUGUAUUUUUCAGUAGGGAGAAGUGAAGGGAUUGGAUAUUAUGGGUAUAUAAGGAUUGUUUGGAUGGACUAGCAACACUCAUUACCUUGAAAAAGACCACAGAGCGGGUUGAAAUGCAUUAGUGGAGAUCAGGCAACUGGAGAGUGCAAGGAGGACAUUACCUUAAGGAGCGGAGUGCCUACGAGUCUACCCGGGAUACCGCAUGGUGAUAUAUCAUCCUCACUAUGCCUUUUUAGAACAGAUUAAAACCCAGUUCCAAGAUUUCUGGUAAUUACCCAUUUGCAAUCCCUGCCUGUCUGAUCCCAUUCUUGAGUGUUGUGUACAUGUAC